CUGCAGAGGCCGCGCGCUGCAUCCCCGGCCCCGCCGCGCUGCUGCGCAGGACGCGGUGAGGCGCGCGCCGAGGCCCGGGAGCACCAGCCGGGAGCACUACAGGGCGCGCGAGCAGACGCGUGGACAAGGCCUGGGCGGGGUCUCCUCAGGGUCCCCAGCUUCGGUCAGAAACGAAACUGAAAGAGGGGCCCGAGGGAGGCGGAGCUGCGCCGACGCCACCCAGGCUUGCGAGGCCCGGACCCAGGCGCGGCCAGGUGUGCUUCAGCCACCAUGGCUCAGGAUGGCGUGGAGUUGGAGAAGAGCGUCAGGCGCCUCCGGGAGAAGUUUCAUGGAAAAGUGUCCCCCAAGAAGGCAGGGGCUCUUAUGAGGAAGUUUGGCAGCGACCACACUGGAGUUGGGCGCUCUAUCGUGUACGGUGUCAAGCAGAAAGAUGGACAGGAGCUGAGCAACGAUUUGGACGCUCAGGACCCACCAGAGGACAUGAAGCAGGACCAAGAUAUCCAGGUGGACCGACAGUUUGCCUGCUCCUCCUGUGACCAUGUCUGGUGGCGCCGUGUGCCUCAGAGGAAGGAGGUGUCCCGGUGUCGAAAAUGUCGGAAGCGUUAUGAACCAGUGCCAAACGACAAGAUGUGGGGUCUGGCAGAGUUCCACUGCCCAAAGUGUCGCCACAACUUCCGGUGAGGGCCCGGACCCCAGCCCACCCUCAGCCCCGCCCCAGCCCAGCCCACCCUAAGCCCAGCCCCAGUCUAGUCCCCUCCUCCUGUCCCCUAUGCCCAGCCAUCCCCUCAGCCCCUCACAGCCCUGCUGGCCCCCAGGGGCUGGGCACAGAUGGGGUCCCCAUCACCCUGCUAUGGGUGCGGCUUCCCUGUGUAUCCCACUCGGAUCCUGCCUCCACGCUGGGACCGUGACCUGGAUCGCCGCAGCACACACACCCACUCCUGCUCAGCCGCAGAUUGCUACAACCGGAGAGGUGAGCUGGUGUGCACCCUACAUUCUGCAUCCCCUGCACAUCGACCCCGGGGGCUGCUCCCUCCUCCCACGAAUCCUCUAUGGUUCCCUAGAAAUGGCUCCUCUCUCCCUCCCAUGGAGUUUCCAGAAGCUCUGUGGCGUCCAGCCUGCUAGGCCCGUGGUCCUCACUACCUAGCCCCACGUGCCUGGGACCUCCUGUGCCCAUCCCAAGAGCCGGAAGCAGAAUCACCUCCCCAAAGUCCUGCACCCUAGCAACCCCCACAUCAGCAGCGGCUCCACAGUGGCCACAUGCCUGAGCCAAGGAGGCCUCCUGGACGACCUGGACCACCUCAUCCUGGAGGACCUGAAGGAGGAGGAAGAGGAGGAAGAAGAGGAGGAUGGUGGGCCCCGAGAGUGACCCUGGCCAGGUGCACGAAGGAAUGACAGACACAGUGAAUGGACACCUCCUGUUGCUAUAAGAUACCAGCUCAAGGAGAUAGGAGCACCCUUGGGGGGGUACUCAUGGGACAGUCACAACCGAACAAGCCGGGUCAGCAUAGCAGCCUUCUUCAGAGAGUACGCCCCACCACGGAACUCGGCCCAGUAGACCCCGUCCUGGUAUCGGCUCCGGUAAUGACCUCCGUGAUACCAUACACCAUUGAGGUUGGAGUGGGCGCAGGCAUGGUACCACCAGCCCCCACGAUGGUAGAGGGCACAGUUGCCUGAGGGGGGAGAGAGAGGAGAGAGAAAGAGACAGCAUUCGUUUUCCCACCAAAAUAAAAGUAUCUACCAGCACUUCUUUGUGC
rnacentral:lncRNA from 1 species